rnacentral:rRNA from 1 species
GACAGAGGAUGCAAGCGUUAUCCGGAAUGAUUGGGCGUAAAGCGCACGCAGGCGGUCUGCUAAGUUUGGAGUGACAGUUGGUGGCUUAACUGCCAAAGUGCUUCGAAACUGACAGACUUGAGGGCUUCAGAGGGACACGGAAUUCCGGGUGGAGUGGUGAAAUGCGUAGAGAUCCGGAGGAACACCAAAGGCGAAGGCAGUGGUCCUGGGGAGUACCUGACGCUCAGGUGCGAAGGCCAGGGGAGCGAACGGGG